rnacentral:misc_RNA from 1 species
CAUGUUUAGUGCAUCGUCAUCCAUGAAAACUACACAGUUAUGAACACAUAACAGGGGGGAAAUUAGCUUUGUUACGUUUUAGAUUGACCCAUUAUAUCAGUUGCUAUCAGAAAAUCAUAAUUUCAUCAAGUUUUGGAACGACACANNNNNNNNNNNNNUUAGUGGCAGUGCAAUCCUAAUGACUGCAGCUAUAACAGGGUCGUCAAAUUAUUUUAAAAAAAUGUAAAAUUACAACUACAGCAAUAGCUUCAACACUAAAC